GUACACGCUGUGACUAGCAUAUCAAUAAGCGGAGGAAAAGAAACUAACAAGGAUUCCCCUAGUAACGGCGAGUGAAGCGGGAAGAGCUCAAAUUUGAAAUCUUAAAGGGUUUCCCUUUACGAAUUGUAGUUUAAAGAAGUGUUUUCUGUUGAGGUUUUGGUAAAAGUUCUUUGGAAUAGGACAUCAUAGAGGGUGAGAAUCCCGUAUUUGACCUUUACUUUCAACUUUGUGAUACACUUUCAAAGAGUCGGAUUGUUUGGGAAUGCAGUCCAAAAUGGGUGGUAAAUUUCAUCUAAAGCUAAAUAUUGGCGAGAGACCGAUAGCGAACAAGUACCGUGAGGGAAAGAUGAAAAGAACUUUGAAAAGAGAGUUAAACAGUACGUGAAAUUGUCAAAAGGGAAGCGUUUGACACCAGUGUUGUUUUUCUGAAAAUCAAUUAAAGAACUGUUUAUGCUAAGCUGUUUAGACUUUAUCAGCUAUCUGUUUAGUUUUGAGCUUUUCUUUAAUGCACUUUUCAGUUAACAAGUCAACAUCAAUUUCUUUUGCUGUAAAAAAGCUUGAGGAAGGUGGCUUGAGAUUCGUCUUAAGUGUUUAUAGCCUCUUGCCUAUGCAGUCGGAGAGAUUGAGGUCUGCAGCGUAGAUCCUUCGGGGCUAAAUGCAUUUGUGCUAAGUUAUAGCAUUUUAUAGACAAUUUGUUGACUAUGAUUUGUCUUGUAGCUUACUCGCUUAUGUUAUUUUACCUACGCUUAGGAUGUUGAAGUCAUCGUAUCGCGC
rnacentral:rRNA from 1 species